GUUACAGUAUAUGUAGCCUUAUCUUUCCAAGAGCUCCCUCCAUCUUCAGGUGCCAUUAUCCUAUAUCUCUGUAUCUCUUUCAUUUUUAUAAGGAGACCAAGCAACAACAGAGUAAAGACAAGAAUAACCUCAUCUUAGCAAUUUGAAAUCAAUGUGUUUCCACAUACAGCUACAUUCUGAAGUUCUGGGAAGUAUAUGACUUCUGGCGGAGAUGCUGUCCAAUCUAUUUCCACUCAACAGUAAAGAAAAAGAUUCCCGUGUUAUACAGGAUGCAAAAAUGAUUGAGGAAAAACCACUGUUG